rnacentral:rRNA from 1 species
GACGAACGCUGGCGGCGUGCUUAACACAUGCAAGUCGAACGGAAAGGCCCGGCUUUUGUGGGGUGCUCGAGUGGCGAACAGGUGAGUAACACGUGUGUAACCUGCCCCUGACUUUGGGAGAACUUCUGGAAACUGGGGCGAAUACCCCAUAGGAGCUCCUGCUGCACGGUGGUGGUUGGAAAGUUUCGGCGGUUGGGGAUGGACUCGCGGCUUAUCAGCUUGUUGGUGGGGUAGUGGCGUACCAGGGCUUUGACGGGUAGCCCGCAUGAGAGGGUGACCAGCCACAUGGGGACUGAGAUACGGCCCAGAAUCGUACGGGAGGCAGCAGUGGGGAAUAUUGCGGAACGGGGGCAAGCCAGAUGCAGCAACGCCGCGAGCGGGAUACGGGCCUUCGAGUUGUAAACCGAUUUGGACUGUGACGAAGCGUGAGUGACGGUAAUGGGUAAGGAAGCACCGGCUAACUACGUG